rnacentral:rRNA from 1 species
UACGUAUGGUGCAAGCGUUAUCCGGAUUUACUGGGUGUAAAGGGAGCGUAGGCGGCGCGUUAAGUCCGAUGUGAAAACCCGAGGCUCAACCACGGGAGUGCAUUGGAAACUGGCGGGCUGGAGUGCCGGAGAGGUAAGCGGAAUUCCUAGUGUAGCGGUGAAAUGCGUAGAUAUUAGGAGGAACACCAGUGGCGAAGGCGGCUUACUGGACGGCAACUGACGCUGAGGCUCGAAAGCGUGGGGAGCAAACAGG